rnacentral:rRNA from 1 species
UACGGAGGGUGCAAGCGUUGCUCGGAAUUAUUGGACGUAAAGGGUAGGUAGGUGGUCUCAUUUGUCUGGGGUGAAAGCCUUGAGCUUAACUCAAGAAGUGCCCCAGAAACGGUGAGACUCGAGUCCUGGAGAGGUGAGUGGAAUUCCCGGUGUAGCGGUGAAAUGCGUAGAGAUCGGGAGGAACACCAGAGGCGAAGGCGGCUCACUGGACAGGCACUGACACUCAACUACGAAAGCGUGGGGAGCAAACAGG